rnacentral:rRNA from 1 species
UCAACGGAGAGUUUGAUCCUGGCUCAGGACGAACGCUGGCGGCGGGUUUAACACAUGCAAGUCGAGGGACGAAGCCAUCUUCGGGUGGUGGAGACCGGCGAACGGGUGAGUAACACGUGAGGAACCUACCCUCUGCUUCGGGAUAACC